rnacentral:lncRNA from 1 species
CCCCACCCCUGAGGGAGCAGGACUGGGCACUGUGACUCCAAUCCCUGAUUCCGAAUCUCCUUCUCUCUCUCCCCUCUCCUCUCCCUUUCCUUUGGGUGAUCACAAAUCCCAGAACAGCUGCAGAGCCCCGUGCCCAGUUCGGGUUUCCCAGCAAAGGGAGGCCUGGGGCUGAGGUGCCCCGGGAUGGCCGGGAAUGGGGGUCCGGGGGUCCCCAGGGUCAGGGAAAAGGGGGAUCCAGGGUCUGGGAGAGGUGGAUACCCGGAAAGGGGGGCCAGGGGGGUGUUGGUGCGGGUUCAGGGGGUGCAGGGGGGUCCUGGAGCUGGGGAAGGAGAUGCAGGGAGGUCCCAGUGCCCAGGAAUGGGGCAGGGGGGAGCAGGAUCUGGGAAGUGGCGGCAGCUGCUGGGAAGGGACCAUGACAGAGAGGGACAGGCUGGGACAGACUGGGACACUGGGAUACACUAGGACUGGGACCAGAAUCCACUGGGAGCAGAACUGGGGCACCAGGGAUCAUACUGGGAUAUACUGGGACCACACUGAGGGCUACUGGGAGCAUGCUGAGAGCAACUGGGUGUUCCUGGGAUAUAGUGGGCAUGAUUGGGAUCAUCCUGGGACUGACUGGAAUCCUACUGGGAGUGACUGGAACCAUAGUGGUGGUGAAAGGACACAAUUGGAAAAUUGCAGGGGGCAACUGGGAUCAUCCUGGGAGCAGCUGGCUCAUGCUGGGGUCAUACUGGGAUCAUACUGGGGUGACCGGACUCAUACUGGGAGCAACUGGGGCCACAAUGGGGGCAAAUGGCAUCAUAGGGGAUAUGACUGGGUUCAUACUGGAAGUGACUGGGGCCACACUGAACUCUUACUGAGAGGGACUGAGAGUGAAAUGAACCAUACUGGGCAUGACUGGGAGCAACGGGGAUCAUGUUGGGGGCAACUGGGAUCCCAUUGGGAGUGAUUUGGAACAUACUGGGAGUGACCGGGAUCAUACUGGGGGUGACUGGGAACAGCCGCUGAGGCGGCGGCGGAGCUCGGAGGCGGCCCCAGCGCAGGUGGGAGCCGCGCUCGGUUCUGGCGGGGCUCGGGGCUGGCUGCGGGCGGAGGGGGCGGCAGGGGGCUGUGGCGGGUUCGUUGUGCCGUGUGGGCGCCGUGUUCGCCCUGGCGUGAGGGCGCUGCGGGAGCGGCUGCCCGCGGUCUCCUUCCCGCUGCUGCCUCGGCAGGAGCCGGUGCCGGAGCAGCGCUGGCUCGUCCCGGCUGCUGUGGGUAGGACAGAGGUGGCUGCCCCGUCCGCGGACGCUGCGCUGGGGCCGCCUCCGAGCUCCGCCGCCGCCUCACCGGGCUCCGGCCGCCGCCGCCGCUCCCGGGCCCGCACAGACGCUCCGCCAAUGGCGCCUCUGCUGCGCCACGGCCGCCCUGCCGGCGGCUCCGGGCCCGGGCUGCUCCCCGCUCCGACCAAUCAGCGCGCCAGAACCACGACUGACGGCAGCACCGCCCAAUCGGAGCGAGGGGCGGGCUCUGCACACGGCACGGAACCCCCUCCCUUUCCCCGCACUCCGCCAUUUCUCGGAAACCUUGGCUGCGGGUUGUUUUUGGCGCUGGGCCCGGCCCGGGCCGGAGGCCACGGAGCCGCUGCUGCCCUGAACCGCCCGGAGCUCCGUGUGACGGGAGCUGAAUGCGCUGGGAACUGCGGGUCAUUAGAGUGA